ensembl:lncRNA
CCAGCCCACUGGCCGUCACAUCACACCUGAGGAUUGGUCAAGGUAUGACUGUGUGUUUCAGCUUUCUGCUGUCAAAGAAGACAUCAUCAUCAAACUGGACCAAAAAGUGAUCAAGAGUAACAGAGGUAAGAGUGAACCCAAAAUAAUGGAUUUAGUGUGUGUGUUCAGGACCAGAUCUUGGGAAAGUAAUAACUUUAAACCUAAGAAAUCUACAUGCUUCAUGUUUUCAUUAUAAAUCCUAGGCAAAGACGUAGACCAGCAGACAAAUACAAAAGCAUUUUUUUGUGUGGUAGUGUGGAUGUAAUAACUGUUAUACAUCUAUACAGAUACACAACUUUGGAUUGAUGGAUGUCUUGUCUUUCCAGAUUAUUUAAUCUGUACAAGUCCCGAAGAGAACAAUGAUUAUUACCUCAAAGUUUUUGUGGGGUUUUUUUUUUGUUCUGCUCAUCACAGUCCUUGUUUUCAUCGUGUACAAGAUUACAGGUGAUGUGUAUAUGUAUAUGGUAUUUUCAUUAAACGAUUAUAAAAUUUUAUUGAUUCAGUUUACCACCCAAAAACAGUUCAUCUAAAUCCAAAGCAUUAAUGAUGUUGUGAAAGAAAAGUUAAAAGAACAAACAUAUAUUAAAAUAUUAAAGAGAGUUAGAUUUAAUUUGUUGUUCAGUUGUUGGUUUAACUUUUUAUAUCUAAGGUUUAAAAUCAUGGUUUGAGUUUGUUUGCCAUCUACAAUCAUUUAUAGAAUUUUCAUCAGUUUAAAAUACCCCAAAUUAAAAUUAUUUCAACAGAAAAACUUUAAUGAUGAAUCAGAUAUGAAUCAAUCAAACCUGUGGUGACUAUCUGCAGUAUAACAUAAAUUUGAUGUCAAGACUUAUGUCAUUAUAUAUUUUUGAAGACUGGAUAUGGUGAUUAACACUUUGUUUGUUUGUUUGUUUGUUUCUGCCUGCGAUUCCAGUUGACGAAAGCAAUCAAAAGAGUAAGCAUGAGUUACAUUCAUUUGAAAUAAAAACUGAGUUAGAUAAUUUGUUGAGUAAAAACCUUAUUUUUCCAGAAGACUUGGAGACUUUGAAGUACUCCCCCAUCGCUGCACUGGUUCUUGCUCUCAUCCUUUGUUGUUUAACUGGAGUUCACUUUUAUAAAACAAAUACUGGUAAGCAAACAAAACAUUUAACUCAAAUCUUCACAUUAUAUACAUUAUAUAAAUACAACCUCAGGUCAGUGCAAAAAUUAAAAAGAGACCUCAAAAUAAUACAGAGGAAACCCCUAAAAUCUGUCGACAACCUAUGAAUAAGCAUUUGGUGGCAUUGGGAAGAAAAAAACACAUUUUUGACAUGAAGAACCAAACUCAGGAAGGAGCAGUUAUCUGCUGCAACCAGUUGAGGGUGGGGACAAACAGAGGGAAACGGGCCAGAAGACACAUUAUGGAAGAGAGCCAGAGUUUUAUCAACAGUUCUGCUGUUUUACUCUUUUUAAUGAGAAGAGACUAUCUCCUGGUAAUCCUUUAAAACUACUUGUUCGGUCUUUUUCUAAUUGUUUUGUUAUCAGCUUUAACAUUAGAAUGGUAACUGAGGCCUGUAAAGUAAAAAAUCUAGCUCUUGGUUUGUUUGUUUUUGUGUGAACAUGGCACAGCGUCAUGAUCCUGGGUUUUCAACCAGCGUUUUCCAUUCUUACAAUUUCUGUCUGUUCUCUGUUUUAACUAAUUUAGGCUUGGUUUAAUAUUAUGCUUUUGCUCAGGCUGUUUUCUCCUUUGUGUUUGUUUCUAGUUCCCCUUAGAGUGACAAUUUGUGUUUUGAUCUCUAUUCUUAAUACCAUGAUUAGCUGGGUUGUGUUCUUGACUUCUGGUUUGUAUUAAUUCCUUAUUACAGUUAUCAGCAGUUCUCUGUUCCCAUUGUCAAGUCAUCGUCAUCCCUGUUUGUGUUUCAGUUUUUUGUUAUUUCCCAUUUUAUUUUUUUAGUCUUUGUCCCCUGUGUGCUGUUUAAUUUUUCCAUGUCUUGUCCUCCUUAAUUGUUGUCAGCUGUUUUCCCACCUAUUGGCCAUCUGCUUGUUGUCCUAUGGCUCUAUUUAUUCUCUCUAUCUCCAACUGUUCAUUGUGGUUUUGUACUGUUUGUCGGUCCUUGCAUUGCUCCAUGCUAUUUUUUGGAUUAUUGAACUUACGUUUCCUACAGCAUUAUCUGUUUGCUGCCACAACUACAAUAUAAGUUAGUUUCAGUUAAGUUAAUGGUUUUCCUUGUCUGCAUCUGGGUCUACUCCACAACCUUACACACCAUUUGCCCUUCUAGUGAAUCUGCUAGAACGUCCACACAUUGCAAAGCUUGGCAAUGGUUUCCAACAAUACAGUGAAUGAACAGAAUAAAAUGAUUGACAAUGAAUGUUCCAGACCAGCAAUCUGAAAAAAUUGUUCUGCUUUGAUAGGUGUUCACACUUACUUAUAAUCAGUUAAUCACAUGUAUUUAAUUAGCAGCAUCUGGCUGUUACUUACUAUCUUAACUCCUAUUAAAGCAGUAAGGGUGUACUUAGAUUUUCACAGGACUGCUUCUGCAUUUUUGUUAAAUAAUGACAUGGUAUAAUAAUGUAUGUCAUGUAUUGUUGCCUACCUGAUGUUUACAUUAUAUUCUGAUAUGUAGUCUUAUAAGGGUUAUGUUGACAGAAGUUAUACUUUUGUUUAACUAUAAUUGAACAUAAUGUUGUUCAGGCUGGAUUGUCAUUUCCUGUAUAUUUCAGUACUUUGACACAACAAGGGAAAAGUGUUAAGAUUACAAUCAAAGUGGAAACAGUAUUAGAAUAAAUGUUUUUAUAAACCUCUAAGUGUGGUAGGAGAGAGUUCAACAAGGGGACAGAGACAUUAAUUUUUUGUGUUUCAGAUUUCUCCGUAAUUCUUCGAUCUGAUUAUGCGUUGAAAUGGAGAGAGCCAUUACCUGGAAUACAAUGGGGACCCUGAAACAGGACGUAAUUAUAAGACCUUGACUUUACAUUAUUGAAGCAUUAAUGCAUUUGUUUUUUUAUUUACUGUUGAUUGAUGUGCACCCUAUUUUUUCGCUGACUUGUUGAAUGGACAUUAUAUGGCUCACUACUUGAAUGCAAACACAAGGCUGUGUUUGUAUAUUAUUUCAGUGCAAACUGUGUUUUGAAUUUAUCUUUGUACUGUGGAUUCAUAACUGUGUAGACUCACAAAUUAUCACGGUUAGCACUGGCCAACCGUGGGGAUGUGAGGAAGAAGGACCCAAAUGCUGGACUCUUUAUGAUAAACAGUGCAUUUAUUUACAGUGGUGUAAAUAAUCCACAGAAUAAUAAGUCCCCGUGUGUUCCCUUGACUCCCUUGUCGUGUCUUCCACCCACAAGUCCGUGCUCUUCCACUCCUGUGUGUCCCGCCACCCCGUGCUCACUGCUCUUGUCUUCCACGCUCCUUCCUGGAUAAAAUAACAAAGAAGCAACCAUCAGGAUACUCAACCACUGCAGGCAUGCACUCACUUAACUUGCCUCACAAAGACCACUGACGUGGAGUCUCACACAACAAUCCCGCGCCGAGGAGCGCUCGGCCACACUCUUAAGUAGCUCCCCGAUGAGGCUUCAUUAGCUGCAGGUGUGUGUGAUCAUCCGCUUCAGGCGUGGCCAGCCUCCAGAUGGGACACACCUACCAGGCCUGCCUGAAACCCAGUGCUCAGCCACACUCACAGACACACCCACUUGCCUAUACAUACAAGCAUGGAGAACACAAGAAUAGCAGCACAGUGCAGCAAACAUACAUCAUAUAUCAGUCCAUAACUGCUCAUGGACCCUGGAUCACUCAGAUCCAGGUCCCUGACACAAAUAAAACUAUGGGGAUGUUUGAGUAGUAAGUAAUGUUAGAGCAGAAAUGGAAAUGGGUUUAUGGCUGUCAUUUCUUCAAAGCUUGAUUUGUUUAAAAAAAAAAAAAAAGUUUUCAUCCUAAGUCUACGAGAUGGCAGCAGAGACUCUGUAAAUCUCCCUUUAGGGCUCACAGCAGAUUUUUGUCAGUGCGACUUGUCAUACAGUCCCGAUCAAAAGUUUAAAGACCAGUUGAAAAAUGGCAAAAAAAAUCAUAUUUUGCAUGGUUGGAUCUUCACAAGGUUCCAAGUCGAGCUUCAACACGCAACAAGAAGAAAUGAGACAAAACAUUUUUUGAGCAUGCAAUUUAUCGAAACCAACACUUAAACUGAAACAGGCUGUUUUACAGCUGAUCAGAAGUUUAGGACCACACCUGCAAAAAAACCCAUAAACUCCCCAAAACAGAAAUCAAAGUUCCAAACAUGAACUCAAUAAUGAGUAGCUCCACCGUUAUUGUUAAUCACUUCAAAAUUCAUUGAGGCAUACUUGAUGUAAGCGUUUCCAUGAGGUGAGUGGGAACAUUUCCCGAAGUGGUGAAGACGGCCACACGAAGGCAAUCUACUGUCUGGAACUGUUGUGUCUGGAUAUGUUCUAGCCUUUUUAAAGGUAUAAUACAAAGUGAUUAUCUUUUUGUGUUUACAAACACUGCCCCGCUCAACAAGUGAGCAGUGUCGGUCAAACCAGUUAGAAGAUAAAUAUAGAGAAGCAGCAUUAGCAAAAAGCCAUGAAUAAUACAUAAUUAUCAGAAAUGACAUGAAGUGACAAAGUAAAUAUAACAUUUUUUUUAAUCUGUCUAACUUAUAAACUUUUUAUGUUUGAUCUAUAUUAUAUAUGUGGGAUGGGAUUUAUGGGAUUUGGACAGCUGCAUUCAAAAAGAACAUAUUUCUUCUUCACAUACUAAAUGCCAAAUUCUAUAACCUGUUUGUGUGUUUUGAUUUUUGAGCUGGCUGUAUAUAUUUUUAAAAAGUGCAAAUUUGGGAGUAUGGAUUAAAACACAAAUUCAAAAAAUAAACUCUGCAUUUCCACAACUGAGAUCUCACCUUUCCUCUUUGGUAACGACUGCCACAGCUGCCACGGCUGCCACGAUUACCACAACUGCAAUGGAAACGAUAACUAGAACAACGAUUGCAGCUCCAAUGUCAGUGGGAUUCUCUGUUGAAUAGAAUAUGGAAGGACUUUAAUAAUAAAUUUGUGCUGUUACUUAAAAAUAAGUGAAGAACAAAUCAGUAAGGACCUGGUAGUUGAUGCAUCUUAUAUCUCUGAUUGAAAUAAUAAGAUUUAUCAGUUCCACAGUUGGUACCUCAUUACUUUUUGCUCACUUCAGUUAUCUAUCAUGUGUCCCC